UCUAGCGGCGGACGGGUGAGUAACGCGUGGGAACGUGCCCUUUGCUACGGAAUAGUCCCGGGAAACUGGGUUUAAUACCGUAUGUGCCCCCCAUUAUAGUGAUGGCGGGGGAAAGAUUUAUCGGCAAAGGAUCGGCCCGCGUUGGAUUAGGUAGUUGGUGGGGUAAUGGCCCACCAAGCCGACGAUCCAUAGCUGGUUUGAGAGGAUGAUCCGCCACACUGGGACUGAGACACGGCCCAGACUCCUACGGGAGGCAGCAGUGGGGAAUAUUGGACAAUGGGGGGAACCCUGAUCCAGCCAUGCCGCGUGUGUGAAGAAGGCCUUAUGGUUGUAAAGCACUUUAAGCGAGGAGGAGGCUACUGAGACUAAUACUCUUGGAUAGUGGACGUUACUCGCAGAAUAAGCACCGGCUAACUCUGUGCCAGCAGCCGCGGUAAUACAGAGGGUGCGAGCGUUAAUCGGAUUUACUGGGCGUAAAGCGUGCGUAGGCGG
rnacentral:rRNA from 1 species